CAGAGGGUGCGAGCGUUGUUCGGAAUUACUGGGCGUAAAGCGCGCGUAGGCGGUCGAUUAAGUCUUACCGUGAAAUGCCGGGGCUCAACCCCGCGCACGUCGGGGGAUACUGGUUGACUGGAGACAAGUAGAGGCGAGCGGAAUUCCGGGUGUAGCGGUGGAAUGCGUUGAGAUCCGGAAGAACACCAGAGGCGAAGGCGGCUCGCUGGGCUUGGUCUGACGCUGAGGCGCGAAAGCGUGGGGAGCGAACAGGAUUAGAUACCCUGGUAGUCCACGCCGUAAACGAUGGAUGCUAGACGCUGGGCGGAUCGACCCGGUCAGUGUCGCAGCUAACGCGAUAAGCAUCCCGCCUGGGGAGUACGGCCGCAAGGCUG
rnacentral:rRNA from 1 species